rnacentral:rRNA from 1 species
GACGAACGCUGGCGGCGUGCUUAACACAUGCAAGUCGAACGCUGAAGCUCAGCUUUUGUUGGGUGGAUGAGUGGCGAACGGGUGAGUAACACGUGAGUAACCUGCCUCCUUCUUUGGGAUAACGCCCGGAAACGGGUGCUAAUACUGGAUAUUCACUGGUCUUCGCCUGGGGGUUGGUGGAAAGGGUUUUUCUGGUGGGGGAUGGGCUCGCGGCCUAUCAGCUUGUUGGUGGGUUGAUGCCUACCAAGGCUUUGACGGGUAGCCGGCCUGAGAGGCUGCCCGGUAACAGUGGGACUGUGAUACGGCCCAGACUCGGACGGGGGGCAGCAGUGGGGACUAUGGCACAAUGGGCGCAAGACUGAUGCCGCGACGCCGCGUGAGGGAUGGAGGCCGUCGGGUUGUGAACCUCUUUCGCUCAUGGUCAAGCCGCAACAAUGGUUGUGGUGAGGGUAGUGGGUAAAGAAGCGCCGGCUAACUACGUG